AUUGAACGCUGGCGGCAGGCCUAACACAUGCAAGUCGAACGAGUGGCGGACGGGUGAGUAAUGUCUGGGAAACUGCCCGAUGGAGGGGGAUAACUACUGGAACCGGUAGCUAAUACCGCAUACCAUCGGAUGUGCCCAGAUGGGUUUAGGUAGUAGGUGGGGUAAAGGCUCACCAAGGCGACGAUCCCUAGCUGGUCUGAGAGGAUGACCAGCCACACUGGAACGGAGACACGGUCCAGACUCCUACGGGAGGCAGCAGUGGGGAAUAUUGCGCAAUGGGCGCAAGCCUGAUGCAGCCAUGCCGCGUGUAUGAAGAAGGCCUUCGGGUUGUAAAGUACUUUCGGCGGGGAGGCGUUACCCGCAGAAGAAGCACCGGCUAACUCCGUGCCAGCAGCCGCGGUAAUUC
rnacentral:rRNA from 1 species